GACGAACGCUGGCGGCGUGCUUAACACAUGCAAGUCGAACGGAAAGGCCCUGCUUUUGUGGGGUGCUCGAGUGGCGAACGGGUGAGUAACACGUGAGUAACCUGCCCUUGACUUUGGGAUAACUUCAGGAAACUGGGGCUAAUACCGGAUAGGAGCUCCUGCUGCAUGGUGGGGGUUGGAAAGUUUCGGCGGUUGGGGAUGGACUCGCGGCUUAUCAGCUUGUUGGUGGGGUAGUGGCUUACCAAGGCUUUGACGGGUAGCCGGCCUGAGAGGGUGACCGGCCACAUUGGGACUGAGAUACGGCCCAGACUCCUACGGGAGGCAGCAGUGGGGAAUAUUGCACAAUGGGCGGAAGCCUGAUGCAGCAACGCCACGUGCGGGAUGACGGCCUUCGGGUUGUAAACCGCUUUCGCCUGUGACGAAGCGUGAGUGACGGUAAUGGGUAAAGAAGCACCGGCUAACUACGU
rnacentral:rRNA from 1 species